AAUAGGGCUCUUCCUGUUCGCUCUCUCGCGUUAUGUAAUUGCAACCCUCAAAGAAAAUAUCGGAAGAAAGGCCAGACAGAGGUUUCCCAGAGACUAUGGGUUGAGGAGGAAUUGGAAGUUUGUCGGCUUAGACCUGGUAUCAUUCCAUCAGUGUUAAACUUCCCGGCUCAUCUUGGAAGAGUACGUGCCAGAAAGACCACGACCAAGCAGCCUUGAGAUCUUAGGCAGCGUCUCCCUGAGACCAAAGAACUACAGACUCUUCACAACCUGCUCAAACUCUUGGUACAGGACCUCACCACACG
ensembl:lncRNA